rnacentral:rRNA from 1 species
CCUACGGGGGGCAGCAGUGGGGAAUAUUGGACAAUGGGGGCAACCCUGAUCCAGCCAUGCCGCGUGUGUGAAGAAGGCCCUCGGGUUGUAAAGCACUUUCAGUGAGGAAGAACGCCUGGUGGUUAAUACCCAUCAGGAAAGACAUCACUCACAGAAGAAGCACCGGCUAACUCCGUGCCAGCAGCCGCGGUAAUACGGAGGGUGCGAGCGUUAAUCGGAAUUACUGGGCGUAAAGCGCGCGUAGGUGGCUUGAUAAGCCGGUUGUGAAAGCCCCGGGCGCAACCUGGGAACGGCAUCCGGAACUGUCAAGCUAGAGUGCAGGAGAGGAAGGUAGAAUUCCCGGUGUAGCGGUGAAAUGCGUAGAGAUCGGGAAGAAUACCAGUGGCGAAGGCGGCCUUCUGGACUGACACUGACACUGAGGUGCGAAAGCGUGGGUAGCAAACAGGAUUAGAUACCCGAGUAGUC